CAAAGCGAACCGGGGAAACUGAAACAUCUCAGUACCCCGAGGAAAAGAAAUCAACCGAGAUUCCCCCAGUAGCGGCGAGCGAACAGGGAGCAGCCCAGAGUCAGCAUCAAUAUUUACCGCAGGAGAAGGAUCUGGAAAGGCCGGCAAUAAAGGGUGAUAGCCCCGUAUCUGAAGCGGUAAGUGUUGUGAACUCGAAGAGUAGGGCGGGACACGUGUUAUCCUGUCUGAAUAUGGGGGGACCAUCCUCCAAGGCUAAAUACUCCUGACUGACCAAUAGUGAACCAGUACCGUGAGGGAAAGGCGAAAAGAACCCCGGCAAGGGGAGUGAAAUAGAACCUGAAACCGUGUACGUACAAGCAGUGGGAGCACCCGAAAGGGUGUGACUGCGUACCUUUUGUAUAAUGGGUCAGCGACUUAUAUUCUGUAGCAAGGUUAACCGCAUAGGGGAGCCGUAGGGAAACCGAGUCUUAACUGGGCGUUAAGUUGCAGGGUAUAGACCCGAAACCCGGUGAUCUAGCCAUGGGCAGGUUGAAA
rnacentral:rRNA from 1 species